rnacentral:rRNA from 1 species
UACGUAGGGUGCAAACGUUGCUCGGAAUUACUGGGCGUAAAGCGCGUGUAGGCGGUGCCGCACGUCCGAUGUGAAAGCCCGGGGCUCAACCCCGGACGUGCAUUGGAUACGACGGCGCUGGAGUCCUGAAGAGGAGGGCGGAAUUCCCGGUGUAGAGGUGAAAUUCGUAGAUAUCGGGAGGAACACCAGUGGCGAAGGCGGCUCUCUGGACAGGUACUGACGCUGAGACGCGAAAGCGUGGGUAGCAAACAGG